rnacentral:rRNA from 1 species
UGGUGGAGUGAUUUGUCUGGUUAAUUCCGAUAACGAACGAGACUCUGGCCUACUAACUAGUGAUCGGAUUUUUCAGUCUGAUUGACUUCUUAGAGGGACAAGCAGUGUUCAGCUGCAUGAAAAAGAGCAAUAACA